AGGAGCCGUAUGAAGUUUAAACUUCAUGUACGGUUUUGAAACGGAGUUUAUUUUAGACAAAUUAACAACCGUAAC
rfam:Marchantia polymorpha subsp. polymorpha scaffold2717, whole genome shotgun sequence.